GGUCCGGUGGUCUAGGGCUAGGCCACGGCCUAUAGGCUGUGGCGCCGGUUCGAUUCCGGCCUGCACAA